rnacentral:rRNA from 1 species
AUGAAAGACCUUGGUGUGGCUGAUGUUAUCUUGAACAUCAAGCUACUGAGAGAUAAUGAGGGUGGGAUCACACUUCUGCAAUCCCAUUACGUUGAGAAGGUGUUGAGUCGUUUUGGAUAUUCGGACUGCACACCAUCUCAAACACCAUAUGAUCCUAGCGUAUUGAUUCGAAAGUCCAAAGGCAUGGCUAAAGAUCAAUUGAGAUACUCUCAAAUCAUUGGUUCACUGAUGUACCUAGCGAGCGCAACGAGGCCUGACAUCGCGUUUGCUGUGAGCAAACUGAGCCGGUUUGUUUCCAAACCGGGUGAUGUACAUUGGCAUGCCGUUGAGAGAGUUAUGCGCUAUCUGAAAGGUACUAUGAACUAUGGACUUCACUAUACCGGAUACCCGUCGGUACUUGAAGGGUAUAGUGAUGCGAAUUGGAUCUCUGAUGCUGAUGAGAUGAAGGCCACAACUGGGUAUAUGUUUACUCUUGGAGGUGGCGCUGUUUCCUGGAAGUCUUGCAAGCAAACGAUCUUAACGAGAUCGACAAUGGAAGCAGAAUUAACGGCAUUAGACACAUCUGGUGUUGAAGCCAGAUGGCUUCGAGAUCUUUUGAUGGACUUGCCAUUGGUUGAUAAACCGGUUCCGGCUAUCCUUAUGAACUGUGACAAUCAGACUGUCAUCACCAAGGUGAAGAGUUCAAAGGACAAUAUGAAGUCCACCAAACACAUAAGAAUGAGAUUAAAAGCUGUCAGAAAAUUAAGAAACUCCGGAGUGAUAGCGUUGGACUAUGUCCAUACGGCUAAGAAUCUGGCAGAUCCCUUUACAAAAGGGCUAUCACGUGUUGUGAUAGAUAAUGCAUCGAGGGAGAUGGGUAUGAGACCCACAUGA